rnacentral:rRNA from 1 species
GUGGGGAAUAUUGGACAAUGGGCGAAAGCCUGAUCCAGCCAUGCCGCGUGUGUGAAGAAGGUCUUCGGAUUGUAAAGCACUUUAAGUUGGGAGGAAGGGUAGUAACCUAAUACGUUGCUACUUUGACGUUACCGACAGAAUAAGCACCGGCUAACUUCGUGCCAGCAGCCGCGGUAAUACGAAGGGUGCAAGCGUUAAUCGGAAUUACUGGGCGUAAAGCGCGCGUAGGUGGUUCAGUAAGUUGGAGGUGAAAUCCCCGGGCUCAACCUGGGAACUGCCUCAAAAACUGCAUGACUAGAGUACGGUAGAGGGUAGUGGAAUUUCCUGUGUAGCGGUGAAAUGCGUAGAUAUAGGAAGGAACACCAGUGGCGAAGGCGACUACCUGGACUGAUACUGACACUUAGGUGCGAAAGCGUGGGGAGCAAACAGGAUUAGAAACCCGUGUAGUCC